rnacentral:rRNA from 1 species
UGGAGGCAGCAGUAAGGAAUUUUGGACAAUGGGGGCAACCCUAAUCCAGCAACGCCGCGUGAAGGAUGAAGGUCUUCGGAUUGUAAACUUCUUUUGUAGGGGACGAAAGGGCUGUUGAAGAAACAGUUUUGACGGUACUCUGCGAAUAAGCCACGGCUAACUUCGUGCCAGCAGCCGCGGUAAUACGAAGGUGGCAAGCGCUACUCGGAAUUACUAGGCGUAAAGCGCAGGUAGGUGGCGGGGUAAGUCUGUAAUGAAAUCUCCUGGCUUAACUGGGAGGGGUUUAUAGAUACUGCUCUGCUUGAGUGUGGGAGAGGGUGCUGGAAUUCCCAGUGUAGCGGUGAAAUGCGUAGAUAUCGGGAGGAACACCGAAGGCGAAAGCAGGCACCUGGCCCAAAACUGACACUGAGCUGCGAAAGCUAGGGGAGCAAACAGGAUUAGAUACCCGCGUAGUCCC